AGACUAGUGUUAUUCAUCUUAAUUAGGUUUAAAGGGUACUCAAACGGUCAACAUAACAUCAAAAAUGUUAGUACUUGACUAGAGUUAUAUAUAAGAAGGCAGUACUUUAGGUGGAGAGAUUAUAUUCAAUGAUACCAUGGGGACUCGGUAAAGGCGCAGGCAGCCUUUUAUGUAAUAACUGACGUUGAAGGACGAAGGCUUGGAUCACGAACAGGAUUAGAAACCCCAGUAGUCUUUGCAGUAAAUGAUGAAUGCCAUAGGUUAGAAAAAAUUCUGGUCUAUAAAUGAAAAUGUAAGCAUUUCACCUCAAGAGUAAUGUGGCAACGCAGGAACUGAAAUCACUAGGCCGUUUCUGACACCAGUAGUGAAGUAUGUUGUUUAAUUCGAUAAUCCACGAAAAACCUUACCACAAUUUGUAUAAUAAUUACAGGAGUUGCACGGCUGUUUACAGUUAAUGUUGUGAAACUAUGGUUUUUUACCAUGAAUUAACGUAAUCCCUUGCUUUAUUUUAUUAUUAUUAACUAUAAAGCAUUUAAUCUGAGAAUUUGGAAAAAGAAAAGGGACUAAGACAAGUCAUCAUGGCCUUAAUAUUGUGGGCUAUAGACGUGCCACAUAUGCCUAAACAAAGAGAUGCGAAAAUGUGAAUUCUAGCUAAUCUCAUAAAAUAGGAUAUAAAUUUUAAGGAUUGUAGUCUGAAAUUCGACUAUAUGAAUAUGUAAUUACUAGUAAUCGUGAAUCACCAUGUCACGGUGAAUAAAUCUCGGAUUGGUACUAAUCACUCGUCGCAUGCUGAAAGGAGUAUAUGCAAUAAGUUUGCUUUUUUAAUGAUUAGUAAAAAAAAUAAGCAGAUUUUUUCUAUUAUUAAAAAUCUUCGUAUGUGUAGCUCUAAUUAGUGUUAAGUCGAACUAAGGUUCGCGUAGCGGAAGUUGCGCGGGAAUAAUAAACUUU
rnacentral:ncRNA from 1 species